ACUCAACACGGUCCUCGUGUGAACGACACUCUACUCAUCACUUUAUUACUUGUUAGCGAUCCGUGCACUUGCGGUGGUUGUAAAACCUGCAAACAACUGGUGAAUUGUUGCAUUAUAAUAUCUAUUGAUGUUCAAUGACCGUGCAAGGCAAUUUGGUGAAGGGUUGGUGGAAGAUACAAUCCCAAAAGUUAUAAGGUGACAGUAGUGAUGCAUUUUCGUCUGACAGACUGAUAGAUCAUAUGAAGAAGCAUUAAUGUACAAACAUAAAAUAUCCAUUAACUGGUGUGUAAUUGCAGUUGAUUACAUGUGAUUCUACUGUGUGCAAGUUAACUAGGAUUGAUAUCAUCAAAUGGACUUACUGCAUUGAUGAACAUAGCUUCAGUUCAUAUAUAUAUAUAUACAUGGGAAUGGAGAAUGAUUAUUACCUCAAGUGGUCACAAAUUCUAAAACGAGUAUGUGGUUUCUCAGGAAAAUAAAAACUAACUUUAGGGUAUCUGAUGGUGAAACUAUUCUUUGCAGGAAUGGUACAGUGGUAAGCUGAUUUGUCAUGUAGAUGCUAUUCUAUCAAUGGCAGCUAAUGUGCUGAAGAAAUAUCAACAAAAUAAACAAAAUCCAGUUAUAUUAGUUGCUAAAAUUGCUGGAAUAUAUUGGUGGUGCCAAACAAUGUCUCACCCUGCUGAACUUACGGCUGGCUACUGCAACACCGCUUUAAGGGAUGGAUAUGAUCCUGUUGCUACAGUGUUGUCUCGUCAUUGAGCUGCUUUGCAUAUUUUCUGUUUCGAAAAUGAUUGAUGGUGAAACCCAACCAGCCUGUCAUUGCAGUCCUGAAGGAUUAGUCCAGCAGGAAACAGUUUCAAGGCAGUAUUGCUUCAGAAACAGGUUAAUGAAUUUUGGCCAUGCAAUUUAUGUGAUUUGUUUGCUUUUUGCAUCUCUAUGGAUGUGAUUCACCUUCCAUUGAAUUGGUUUUAUUUUAUUUUAUUUCACCCAGUUAAGGACCAUUUCAAAUAAAAGGAUACAUCUGAUUGGAAGAAAUACUAGUGAACGUUUAGAUCAGAAAGGACUAAAGGCAAAUAAUUGCUAACUGCUAUCAUCCACCGGCCGAGACUGUAAGGUCAUUUACUUUUUUCAGAAUUAAUGAUAAAAUUUUUGCUGUUGAAAACUGGAAUAAUUUUGUCCCCUUUGUUAGAAAGAUAAGCGCGGAUUUGUAAUUUACUUGGGAACCUGAUCCAACCUUGAUUUUUUUUUUACUGAACUUUCAAGAAUAGUAUUGUCUCUGCCCCUAUAAUUUUUUGUCUGACAUAGGGGUUUAUAAAAGCUUAUGUAAAUUCUAGGUCAUUACUGAUUUGUCAUUUCAACUUGAUUGUCUGUGAGACCUGAAAUUCACGGUGAUGGGAUUUAAAGUUUUAUUUCAAAGUUUAACUAACAAAAAACUUUAUGUCUAACGUGGUAUUCCUCUCUGACAAUAGAGAGCUCCAGCAGCAGGAGAGGUAUUUGUCAAAAUUGAAGCUGGUCUUGCUACCAAGCUUGAUGCUUCUAUGUAGUUUUCGGGACCUGUUUCACAUGAAGGGGUAAAGAAAGCACUAUUGAGCAUUACAUCUCCAUCUGAUUUCCAAUUCCAAUUUUCCCACUUCCCAUCUCCUGGGAUGGUUUCCCGUUUAGUCACCUGAAUGAGAGUAAAUCUUUAGUAACUCAAGGACGCUGACUGUAUCCACUCAGUAAUCAAGGGAUCAGUCUGACCAAGUUCUGGUCAAAGUUUGUGCGUAUCCUGGUUGGACCCAGCCCAAUACGUUGAAAAUUUUUUUAGCUUAUUAGUUAUUCACAUGUGAAAAUGGUUAGACCAACCAAUUGUAUGCAUUCUAUUUUAGUUCUCCACCUUAUGCGUGGAUGGACUGUCCUAAUCCCUAAUUAUGUUGCAUAAGGUCAGCUUUUCCAGGAAUAGUUGUGGUUAAGCAAUUGAUCAUUAUCGGUUGCUAAAAGUGAUUAAUUUGUUAACUUUGAUAUUUAUGGUAGCACACAUCUCCUAGCCA